rnacentral:lncRNA from 1 species
CACCACUGAGAUUCCUGACAAUGCAAUGGAUGAGUUGAGCCUCCUCCUGUACUCCAGAGAUCAAAAAUUUUGUAGGAUCCCAUAGGAUCCAUAUUCUUCCAUUCACUGCUCCAUUGUAGUUAGUUAUUAUACUCCAAUUAGGCAACAAAAAACUAGCUAUUCUAUCUGUAUUUUUUUGUUUAACCUUUGUCUCUACAAG